rnacentral:rRNA from 1 species
AAGUGGAACUAUUGCGGGAUUGGCAACGAUUCAACAGUUCGAGAGCUACGCACGCUAGUGCAACGAUUUGCCCCCUUCGUGCUCUGUGUGCAAGAAACUCGAGUUGGAGGGACUCAUGCUAGGAAUCUAGCCUUUUCUUUUAGCUUUAGUAGAAGCUAUACAGUGGAUAGUAAUGGUAGAAGUGGAGGUCUUGCUAUUUACAGGGAUGAUGAUUUGUCCCUUGAGUUCGUCACUGAACUCUCACGAGAUGAGCACAUUGGUCACUCAAGUCUCAAAAUGUGGAGAAUUGGUCAGUUUGGUUUGCUUUAUGAGCGAAUGUGUCACUUCCCUGUUGCGAGCCGUUACGGGGCCGACGUGGCUUGCUGA